CCACUUCGGUGGGGAUUAGUGGCGAACGGGUGAGUAACACGUGGGCAAUCUGCCCUGCACUCUGGGACAAGCCCUGGAAACGGGGUCUAAUACCGGAUACUGACCCGCUUGGGCAUCCAAGCGGUUCGAAAGCUCCGGCGGUGCAGGAUGAGCCCGCGGCCUAUCAGCUUGUUGGUGAGGUAAUGGCUCACCAAGGCGACGACGGGUAGCCGGCCUGAGAGGGCGACCGGCCACACUGGGACUGAGACACGGCCCAGACUCCUACGGGAGGCAGCAGUGGGGAAUAUUGCACAAUGGGCGAAAGCCUGAUGCAGCGACGCCGCGUGAGGGAUGACGGCCUUCGGGUUGUAAACCUCUUUCAGCAGGGAAGAAGCGAAAGUGACGGUACCUGCAGAAGAAGCGCCGGCUAACUACGUGCCAGCAGCCGCGGUAAUACGUAGGGCGCGAGCGUUGUCCGGAAUUAUUGGGCGUAAAGAGCUCGUAGGCGGCUUGUCACGUCGGUUGUGAAAGCCCGGGGCUUAACCCCGGGUCUGCAGUCGAUACGGGCAGGCUAGAGUUCGGUAGGGGAGAUCGGA
rnacentral:rRNA from 1 species